CCUACGGGAGGCAGCAGUGGGGAAUAUUGGGCAAUGGGCGCAAGCCUGACCCAGCAACGCCGCGGGAAGGAAGAAGGCUUUCGGGGUGUAAACUUCUUUUAAGAGGGAAGAGCAGAAGACGGUACCUCUUGAAUAAGCCACGGCUAACAACGUGCCAGCAGCCGCGGUAAUACGUAGGUGGCAAGCGUUGGCCGGAUUUACUGGGUGUAAAGGGCGUGCAGCCGGGAAGACAAGUCAGAUGUGAAAUCCCGCGGCUCAACCGCGGAACUGCAUUUGAAACGGUUUUUCUUGAGUACCGGAGAGGUCAUCGGAAUUCCUUGUGUAGCGGUGAAAUGCGUAGAUAUAAGGAAGAACACCAGUGGCGAAGGCGGAUGACUGGACGGCAACUGACGGUGAGGCGCGAAAGCGUGGGGAGCAAACAGGAUUAGAUACCCGUGUAGUC
rnacentral:rRNA from 1 species